rnacentral:rRNA from 1 species
GAUGAACGCUGGCGGCGUGCCUAAUACAUGCAAGUCGAGCGAACGGACGAGAAGCUUGCUUUUCUGAUGUUAGCGGCGGACGGGUGAGUAACACGUGGAUAACCUACCUAUAAGACUGGGAUAACUUCGGGAAACCGGAGCUAAUAUCGGAUAAUAUUUUGAACCGCAUGGUUCAAAAGUGAAGGACGGUCUUGCUGUCACUUAUAGAUGGAUCCGCGCUGCAUUAGCUAGUUGGUAAGGUAACGGCUUACCAAGGCAACGAUGCAUAGCCGACCUGAGAGGGUGAUCGGCCACACUGGAACUGAGACACGGUCCAGACUCCUACGGGAGGCAGCAGUAGGGAAUCUUCCGCAAUGGGCGAAAGCCUGACGGAGCAACGCCGCGUGAGUGAUGAAGGUCUUCGGAUCGUAAAACUCUGUUAUUAGGGAAGAACAUAUGUGUAAGUAACUGUGCACAUCUUGACGGUACCUAAUCAGAAAGCCACGGCUAACUACGUG